CCUACGGGAGGCAGCAGUGGGGAAUAUUGCGCAAUGGGCGAAAGCCUGACGCAGCGACGCUGCGUGAGGGAUGAAGGUCUUCGGAUCGUAAACCUCUGUCAGCAGGGAAGAACGGUCACUGUGCUAAUCAGCAGUGAAUUGACGGUACCUGCAAAGGAAGCACCGGCUAACUCCGUGCCAGCAGCCGCGGUAAUACGGAGGGUGCGAGCGUUAAUCGGAAUUACUGGGCGUAAAGCGCUCGUAGGCGGUAUGUCAAGUCAAGGGUGAAAUCCCCGGGCUCAACGUGGGAACUGCCUUUGAAACUGGCAAACUGGAGUGUGUGAGAGGAUAGUGGAAUUCCAGGUGUAGGAGUGAAAUGCGUAGAUAUGUGGAGGAACAUCAGUGGCGAAGGCGACUAUCUGGCACAUAACUGACGCUGAGGAGCGAAAGCGUGGGUAGCAAACAGGAUUAGAUACCCGGGUAGUC
rnacentral:rRNA from 1 species